rnacentral:rRNA from 1 species
AUGAAUGGUGAGAGAAGGGUCCAUUGGAUAUCAUGGCAGAAGAUGUGUGCUAGUAAGAGAGAUGGUGGCAUGGGGUUCCGAAAUUUCGAGGCCUUCAACCAAGCCUUGCUGGCCAAGCAAGCUUGGCGCAUUUUGCAAUUCCCAACCUCUGUGUGUGCUAGAAUCCUCAAGGCCCGUUACAUCAAGAACGACACGAUCCUCUCUGCAUCCUGCCCGGCGGCGGGUUCUUACACUUUUCGAAGUAUCCUGCAUGGUCGUGACUUACUCCGUGAGGGCAUCAUAUGGAGAGUUGGCUCGGGGACGAACAUAAAUAUCCACCAUGACGUCUGGAUCCCACGCAGCGGCAGCACGAGACCCCUUGGUCAACAGUAUAUGCACGGGAUUACAAAGGUUGCUCACUUGAUCAACCCGGACGGGAUUUCCUGGAACGAGGAGGUAGUAAAGCAUAUGUUUUCAGAGGACGACGUGGCGGAUGUGAUGCAGAUAGCUAUUGGUGGACCGGAAACGGUUAAAGAACAUGCGGUGCCCCCAUGUUUGGUUUUGGUAAUUGAUGACAAUCUCUAUGGACUAAUAGUUGCCUUGAGUUAUAUUUGA